GACGAACGCUGGCGGCGUGCUUAACACAUGCAAGUCGAACGGAAAGGCCCUGCUUGCAGGGUAUUCGAGUGGCGAACGGGUGAGUAACACGUGGGUGAUCUGCCCUGCACUUCGGGAUAAGCCUGGGAAACUGGGUCUAAUACCGGAUAGGAGCCAUUUUUAGUGUGAUGGUUGGAAAGUUUUUUCGGUGUAGGAUGAGCUCGCGGCCUAUCAGCUUGUUGGUGGGGUAAUGGCCUACCAAGGCGGCGACGGGUAGCCGGCCUGAGAGGGUGGACGGCCACAUUGGGACUGAGAGACGGCCCAGACUCCUACGGGAGGCAGCAGGGGGGAAUAUUGCACAAUGGGCGCAAGCCUGAUGCGGCGACGCCGCGUGGGGGAUGACGGCCUUCGGGUUGUAAACUCCUUUCGCUAGGGACGAAGCUUUUUGUGACGGUACCUAGAGAAGAAGCACCGGCUAACUACGUG
rnacentral:rRNA from 1 species